UUUUAUAAAGGCAGAGUUAAUUAAAUAACGGGUUUGGGUCUUACAAAGUGGUAUCAGAGCAGGUCGUCUUCGGACUGUGAGGUUAUGUGUCAAUCAGAGCCGUUCUGUGCAGUCAGAUCGAGUGAGCGUGUAUGCCAGUUAUGUCUGUCUUUUCUUGUUGUGUGUACUUGAUGCGAUUGAUACUUAUCAUUGUUAUAAGUUAUCAAGUCAAGUAGUGGUUGAGUAUUUUUAUGCUUAAAGUUUUAAAAAAAAAAAUUGUGUGGUUUGAACUUUUGGUUUGUCGAUGCUUAUUGCUAAUAGUUGAUGAUCCGACAUGAUGUAAAACUGUAUUGUCAAUGAUCCAGCAUGAUGUAAAACUGCAUGUGAUGAAGAUUUUGUUGAAAACAUAAGAUUAUUUUCUUUUGAGUAAGUGAAAAUGAAUUUUUCACUAGAGUGAGAAAGGAGUAGGAUGUAAGAAGAUCCUAAUGUGUGUUGUUAUAUGUUUGUUUAUAACAUGUGGUAGAUUGAUUACUAGUACUUAGUGUGGUUCUUUAAUUGAACUAUGUGAAUGUAUUCUCAUGAUGAGAACUUGUU
rnacentral:lncRNA from 1 species